rnacentral:rRNA from 1 species
AGGAAUCUGCCUGGUAGUGGGGGACAACGUUUCGAAAGGAACGCUAAUACCGCAUACGUCCUACGGGAGAAAGCAGGGGACCUUCGGGCCUUGCGCUAUCAGAUGAGCCUAGGUCGGAUUAGCUAGUUGGUGAGGUAAUGGCUCACCAAGGCGACGAUCCGUAACUGGUCUGAGAGGAUGAUCAGUCACACUGGAACUGAGACACGGUCCAGACUCCUACGGGAGGCAGCAGUGGGGAAUAUUGGACAAUGGGCGAAAGCCUGAUCCAGCCAUGCCGCGUGUGUGAAGAAGGUCUUCGGAUUGUAAAGCACUUUAAGUUGGGAGGAAGGGCAGUAAGUUAAUACCUUGCUGUUUUGACGUUUCUGACAGAAUAAGCACCGGCUAACUCUGUGCCAGCAGCCGCGGUAAUACAGAGGGUGCAAGCGUUAAUCGGAAUUACUGGGCGUAAAGCGCGCGUAGGUGGUUCGUUAAGUUGGAUGUGAAAGCCCCGGGCUCAACCUGGGAACUGCAUCCAAACUGGCGAGCUAGAGUAUGGUAGAGGGUGGUGGAAUUUCCUGUGUAGCGGUGAAAUGCGUA